AUACAGAGGGUGCAAGCGUUAUUCGGAAUUACUGGGCGUAAAGCGCGCGUAGGCGGAUGAUUAAGUCAGUUGUGAAAGCCCUGGGCUCAACCUAAGAACUGCAUCUGAUACUGGUCGUCUAGAGUUUAAGAGAGGGAAGUGGAAUUCCAGGUGUAGCAGUGAAAUGCGUAGAUAUCUGGAGGAACAUCAGUGGCGAAGGCGACUUCCUGGCUUAAAACUGACGCUGAGGUGCGAAAGCGUGGGUAGCGAACGGGAUUAGAAACCCUAGUAGUCC
rnacentral:rRNA from 1 species